AUUGAACGCUGGCGGCAGGCUUAACACAUGCAAGUCGAGCGGAGAGAGGUAGCUUGCUACUGAUCUUAGCGGCGGACGGGUGAGUAAUGCUUAGGAAUCUGCCUAUUAGUGGGGGAAAACAUUUCGAAAGGACUGCUAAUACCGCAUACGUCCUACGGGAGAAAGCAGGGGAUCUUCGGACCUUGCGCUAAUAGAUGAGCCUAAGUCGGAUUAGCUAGUUGGUGGGGUAAAGGCCUACCAAGGCGACGAUCUGUAGCGGGUCUGAGAGGAUGAUCCGCCAGACUGGGACUGAGACACGGCACGGACUCCUUCGGGAGGCAGCAGUGGGGAAUAUUGGACAAUGGGCGGAAGCCUGAUCCAGCCAUGCCGCGUGUGUGAAGAACGCCUUAUGGUUGUAAUGCACUUUAAGCUAGUAGGAGGCUACUUUAGUUAUUAACUAGAGAUAGUUGAAGUUACUCGCAGAAUAAGCACCGGCUAACUCUGUGCCAGCCGCCGCAGUAAUAC
rnacentral:rRNA from 1 species